rnacentral:rRNA from 1 species
GAUGAACGCUGGCGGCGUGCCUAAUACAUGCAAGUCGAGCGAACAGACGAGGAGCUUGCUCCUCUGACGUUAGCGGCGGACGGGUGAGUAACACGUGGAUAACCUACCUAUAAGACUGGGAUAACUUCGGGAAACCGGAGCUAAUACCGGAUAAUAUAUUGAACCGCAUGGUUCAAUAGUGAAAGACGGUUUUGCUGUCACUUAUAGAUGGAUCCGCGCCGCAUUAGCUAGUUGGUAAGGUAACGGCUUACCAAGGCAACGAUGCGUAGCCGACCUGAGAGGGUGAUCCGGCACACUGGAACUGGGAAACGGUCCAGAAUCCUAAGGGAAGGAGGCGGAGGGAAUCCUUCGGAAAGGGGGGAAGGCUGAACGAGGAAAGGCGGGUGAGUGAUGAAGGGUUUCGGGUCGGAAAAAUCUGUUAAUAGGGAAGGACAAAUGUGUAAGUAAAUAUGGCCGUCUUGACGGUAACUAAUCAGAAAGCCACGGCUAAACACGUG